GCCCCUGUGGCGCAAUGGAUAGCGCGUACGACUUGUGAGUUCCCAAAGAAAGCCCCGCUUAUGGUCCAUAAUACUAAUCCCUAUUCACAGCUAAUCGUAAGGUUGCAAGUUCGACCCUUGCCUGGGGCU
rnacentral:tRNA from 1 species